rnacentral:piRNA from 1 species
GUCUAAGAGUUCAGGNGUUUUGAGAAGACC